AGAAGAGUGAGUGCCCUGAGCAGCAUACAGAAGAUCUUUGAUGGCUGGGAAACAAAAUGGUACAGCGCCAUGACAAAGCUGAAAUGAGCUGAAAUGUCUCUUCACCGGACUGAGCUCUGCCUCCUCCCACCACUCGUCUGAAUCAACCCCAAAGCCCUGGUGACACAGAAGCCGGCACUGACCUCCCAUGGGACACGGAGCUCGGGAAGUACAAGGAACCCCCUUUCCAAACAGAACACAGCUGGGUCCGGGGACUCAGUGUCACCCAGUGUGGCAGAGCUCCUCCUCCAGCUGAGGAAGCAGGAAGAGAGCUGAAGCACUGCUAGCCCUCAGGACUGGUCAGCUCGGAUUCGGAAUGGCACACAGAGCCUUUUAACUGACUAGAAGCUCUCAGUUUGGAUCUGGCCCAUGGGGGUAGUGACCCAAAAGCCAGGUCUACGCUAGACCUGGAAGGUCAGGUUAAGGUGCGCAACUCCAGUAAAAUAGGUAGCUGGAGUUGGCUUACCUUAAGCCAAGCUUGGCGCCGUCUUCACAGAGGAAGGCUGACAGGAGCAAACACUCUUGUUGGCUUCCCUUACUCCUUGAGAGGAGAACUAGUGCUGGCCGGGGCUUUCCUAACUAGACCCACUAAAUCAAACACCAGAAUAUUGAUCUCUGGUGCAACAAGUGAAGACAUGGCCAAAGUCUUCACCACAUGGCGGCUGUGCAGUCUGUUCUUUCUAUUUCCUAGGUCGCAGGUGCCCUCAUCGCAGAACAGAUUACCCUCGAAAACAGAUUACCCUCCUUGUUGGCAGGCUCAGAAAGGGACAAAGGUAUAAAUGGGCCAUGGAGAUCGAACUCCUCUCUGAAGGAGGGGCACUGGACGGUAAGGGGUAAGCGCCACCCAUGUGCUGCCUGCUGUGAGAAUAGGGACCCCAAGUUUCCAAGGCUGCCAACAAAACCUGCGGCUGCACCUCUGAACAAGCUCUUCUCAAAGAGGUCACGGAUGCAGCUUGGAAAUGGCUGGAAGAAUGGGAGGGACCGGGGUAAGGAGAGCCACUCCAGUUGGCCAAGGUUAACUUGCCUUCCCUGUGGUGCUCAUCCUCCCAUCCAGGCUGGGCAGCCUUCUAGCAGCGGCGUUAAUGGCAACAUCCCUGAGUGGGGUCCAAGCAGGAACAACAAUAAACCAACCCUCCAGAUCCUAUCUUAAGGACACAGGGCUUCAAACCCCAGCUCAGCCGGGCACUCACACCACACAGCAAGGAGUGAACGGCAUCAAUUUUCCCCUAAUGAUAAGUUACUCGAGCAGCAGUUUUCUACACCUAUCCCACCGUGGAUGUGACUCUAUGGAACACCACAGGCUCAGUAGUCCUGGGCCAGUUCCUUUAGUUGCCUGGAGAAGAAAAACCCUGGUGACACUGCUCUUCCUUCUGAAUGAGAACUGAAUGCCAUGGUGAUUCAGGGGCUGAUGUGCACCAGGAGGUUCCCUCUUUCAUGCAAGACCAGACAAGUCCUUGCACACGCACACCCAUCAGAGAUUGCACAGCACUUUUUGAAGGCAUCAAGAAUGCUCACCCCACAUCCUGACUACACUCCAGUGCAGCAAACUCCACCCCCACCCCCUGCCGCAUUUCCAAUGAGACACAGGAUUCUGCAGCAUUGCUAGGAACUGUUAAACAGCUGCCAUGCCCCACCCCAGAGCGGCUGUCCUGCAGUGCUGUGCCAUGCAGGUCAACUGUAUGUAGCUUUUAAAGCAUCUUGGGGUGUUCUCCCCAAGCAGCACUAGAAUGCAGUGUCACUACCAUCACUAGGCACUGCAACAGAAUAGUGCCCCCCUUUGAUGGGAAUUAACCAUCUACCACAAAUAUCCUGUCUGACGGAGCACGGCUGAUAGGAUUAUUUAUUGCUUCAGGCUAGGCACAGGUGCCCAGUGGUGAAGCUGCCAAACAGCAAGCAGCUCUCUGCAUGGAUGUGUCCAUAAAUUACCCACUGAACCCAUUAGGGAGCCAGGAAGUUUAGGAGGGAGCCAACUUCAGAGGGGAGUGGAAGUGGAGCGCGUCCCUGCGAGUGGGCUGGGGCCAGGCAGUGCGCAAUUAAUCCUCGUUAAUAAUGUCGCAAACAGAAGCGCUCGCAUGGAGCACGAAGCGGAACAGAUGCACACACGCACCUCUGGGGCGUCUCCUGGGGCCCACUCCUCCAUGCUUCCUCCCAGCCAGCUCCACAUUUUCUGUCAGUGAAUCUUCCUUCUUUUUCCUUCACUGCUGCUCUUCCUUCUCCUGGAUUCCCUCCUUUCCUCUUUCUUUGUGUAUGUUCCCAUCAUCCCAUCAUUUCCCCGCCCCCA